UGGUGCACGAGGUCGGUAGACGACGGCGGCUGAAACUGGAACUAGGGUUCCGGUGGUAUCCAUGUGCAGAUCUGAGGAACCAAGAUAUUGUUCAUGCUUUUGAAAGGAAUCUUCUUCAAGUCACAGAUGGUGGUUGUACGUCUUUGUUUAGAGUUUGUAAAGUGUGUUGGUUGUUACGCGUGUCACAUAGCGUGCCGAUUGGAUUGCGCUUUAUGUGGUCUUCUUUGUAAAGUGUGUUUGUUGUUACGCGUGUCACAUAGCGUGGCGAUUGGAUUGCGCUUUAUUUGGUCUUCCUUUUCCACAAAUGGUUAUUUGCGUUUUCCACUGAAUCUAAUCUAUGUUAACCAAGCGAGUCUGAUUGCGAUGGGUGGGGUUGGCAACAACUAUCCAAAUUUAGGACGGCGCUACUUCAUGGCAACCACCAGAUACCUCCGAUUUUACACAAUUCGCACCUACUUCUAGCCACAAUCCCUUAGAUUUCUAAUUAUACCAUACACUAAUAGGAAUUAUUUUGUUC